CAAAUUUUGGCUUUAAAUACUAGGUCCCACCUGUUGGGUGGGUCAGAUCCCUUGACUGUCUGAACCUGAACUUCUUAAUAGAUGUUGCAUUGGUAAUGAUUUAUUGGUUGAUUAAGAAGAACUACUAGAACGGUCUAAAUCUCUCAUUAAUAAUUUAAUUCUGUUUUGUUUUAUUGAAAAUCUUUGUAAAGUCUUGAGACGUUAUAAAACGAUACUAAUUUUUGAUUCACAACUUCAUUUUCUGUUACUGGCCUGGUUUUAUGCUCAUACUAGACCGUUAUUGUCUAUAAAAUGAUGAAUGCCUUCAAUAAAAAUUAAUUAAGCUU